CGUACCGUCCACAUUCACUUUUCGCGGCGAACGAAGCAAACGCAAGUGUUUUGGUAAUUUGCCGUGUCACAAGUUCUAAUCACGUGCAAAUUUUCACGCGGCCAGUGUGUAUACAUAUAUUUGUUACAAACAACAAUAAUCUUGUGAGUGCAACAAUGGAUGAGUUGCGUCGCACGGCUGAACCGAAAAAAGGUUAAAUUUGACGCGCCGACGAACGAAUCGUUCGUUGCAAUGGAAUUCAACCCGAAAAGGAAGGAUUCUCCGUCAACUCGGCCACUUUUUUUUCGACCAUCUCAGAUCUGCCCCAUAAUUGGUUACAUCAAAGUACUACUAGAAGGAUAAUCCGUCGUAACCGUUGGACGGACGCAAUGUCACAUGCCGCGAGGAUAUCUUCAUGGAAUGGUGAACUAUGUUCAAAUGACAUUACUUCGCAAUGGAUGUUAGAAACUCCCAUCAACCGGGAGAAGGAAACUGUUUCGCACAACCCGCAGCUUCAUAGUGACCUCGAAUCUCAGAUACUAAUUCUUUGCAUUUAAUAUUUCAGAGGGUAUAAAAAUAAUCCUCAACGUCGAUGUCAACAAUUAUUUCAUAUAUCCAUAGUAACAUGAAUAAAGUGUUCCAAUAUUAUAUAUAAUCAUUUUUUGAAACCAUUUUCACUAGUACAAUAGCUUCGAACAUAAAAUUAUUUCAUUAUUGUCAGUAGA
rnacentral:lncRNA from 1 species